rnacentral:rRNA from 1 species
UGCCAGCCGCCGCGGUAAUACGUAUGUCGCAAGCGUUAUCCGGAUUUAUUGGGCGUAAAGCGCGUCUAGGCGGUUUGGUAAGUCUGAUGUGAAAAUGCGGGGCUCAACUCCGUAUUGCGUUGGAAACUGUCAAACUAGAGUACUGGAGAGGUGGGCGGAACUACAAGUGUAGAGGUGAAAUUCGUAGAUAUUUGUAGGAAUGCCGAUGGGGAAGCCAGCCCACUGGACAGAUACUGACGCUAAAGCGCGAAAGCGUGGGUAGCAAACAGGAUUAGAUA